GCCUUAGAUAUGAUCUUAGCAGAAAAAGGAGGAGUGUGUAAAAUGCUUCCGGACACUAUUACAUGUUGUACCUUCAUCCCAGAUAACACAGGCCCAAAUGGUAAAGUGACCCUGGCAAUAGAGAAAUUAGAGGAUCUCUCGGAAGAAUUGAAGAACUCUGCAAUUACUGACCCUUGGGAUAGAUGGUUCGGAUGGAUGAGUGGCUGGCAGAAAAUCCUGACCCAAAUAGGUAUAGCCGUCCUGGUAAUUUUAAUUAUCCUUGCCAUUAUUGUAUGUUGUGUUCCCCCUGUAUCAAAAAG